UGGUAAUCUACAUAACAUUUUGCUUUCCUAAGUGGCUAGCCAGCCUGAACUUGAAGAAUUGGCAUGCUGAACCAUCAGUAUCAGAUUAAUGGGACCGAGAAAUCCAAGAAAGAAAGUGGAGGCUGGAGUGAUGCUGAUUGCACUGGAAGCUUAGAUAUUGAAAAGAUAAAGAACCCAUUUUUUCCUCACACUAUGCUUGGAAUAACUCACUGGUAUUGAACACUCUCCAUACCUUAGCUCUUUUACUGUCCAGCUGGCCUGUAACAUUGCUGACAACACUC